rnacentral:rRNA from 1 species
UACGUAGGUGGCGAGCGUUAUCCGGAUUCAUUGGGCGUAAAGAGCUUGUAGGCGGCGUCAUAAGUUGGACGUGAAAACUCCGGGCUUAACUUGGAGAGGCCGUUCAAUACUGUGAGGCUAGAGGGUGUCAGAGGGAAGUAGAAUUCCUGGUGUAGCAGUGAAAUGCGUAGAUAUCAGGAGGAAUACCCGUGGCGAAGGCGGCUUCCUGGGGCACCACUGACGCUGAGAAGCGAAAGCUAGGGGAGCAAACGGG